rnacentral:rRNA from 1 species
GAUGAACGCUAGCUACAGGCUUAACACAUGCAAGUCGAGGGGCAGCAUUUUAGUUUGCUUGCAAAUUAAAGAUGGCGACCGGCGCACGGGUGAGUAACACGUAUCCAACCUGCCGAUAACUCGGGGAUAGCCUUUCGAAAGAAAGAUUAAUAUCCGAUAGCAUAUUGAGAUCGCAUGAUUUUGAUAUUAAAGAAUUUCGGUUAUCGAUGGGGAUGCGUUCCAUUAGUUUGUUGGCGGGGUAACGGCCCACCAAGACUACGAUGGAUAGGGGUUCUGAGAGGAAGGUCCCCCACAUUGGAACUGAGACACGGUCCAA